CAGCAGCCGCGGUAAUACGUAGGUGACAAGCGUUGUCCGGAAUUAUUGGGCGUAAAGGGCUCGCAGGCGGUUUCUUAAGUCUGAUGUGAAAGCCCCCGGCUCAACCGGGGAGGGUCAUUGGAAACUGGGAAACUUGAGUGCAGAAGAGGAGAGUGGAAUUCCACGUGUAGCGGUGAAAUGCGUAGAGAUGUGGAGGAACACCAGUGGCGAAGGCGACUCUCUGGUCUGUAACUGACGCUGAGGAGCGAAAGCGUGGGGAGCGAACAGGAUUAGAUACCCCUGUAGUCCCUGUCUCUUAUAC
rnacentral:rRNA from 1 species